rnacentral:rRNA from 1 species
CCUACUGGUGGCAUCAUUGGGGCAUCUUGCACAAUGGGGGAAACCCUGAUGCAGCGACGCCGCGUGAGUGAAGAAGUAAUUCGUUAUGUCAAGCUCUAUCCUCCGUUCCUCCCCUGACGGUACCUGAGUAAGAAGCCCCGGCUAACUACGUGCCAGCAGCCGCGGUAAUACGUAGGGGGCAAGCGUGAUCCGGAUUUACUGGGUGUAAAGGGAGCGUAGACGGCAGUGCAAGUCUGGAGUGAAAGGCGGGGGCUCAACCCCCGGACUGCUCUGGAAACUGUACGGCUGGAGUGCAGGAGAGGUAAGUGGAAUUCCUAGUGUAGCGGUGAAAUGCGUAGAUAUUAGGAGGAACACCAGUGGCGAAGGCGGCUUACUGGACUGUAACUGACGUUGAGGCUCGAAAGCGUGGAGAGCAAACAGGAUUAGAUACCCGGGUAGUC